GACGAACGCUGGCGGCGUGCUUAACACAUGCAAGUCGAACGGAAAGGCCCUGCUUUUGUGGGGUGCUCGAGUGGCGAACGGGUGAGUAACCCGUGAGUAACCUGCCCUUGACUUUGGGAUAACUUCAGGAAACUGGGGCUAAUACCGGAUAGGAGCUCCUGCUGCAUGGUGGUGGUUGGAACGUUUCGGCGGUUGGGGAUGGACUGGCGGCUUAUCAGCUUGUUGGUGGGGUAGUGGCUUACCAAGGCUUUGACGGGUAGCCGGCCUGAGAGGUUGACCGGCCACAUGGGGACUGAGAUACGGCCCAGAGUCCUACGGGAGGCAGCAGGGGGGAAUAUUGCACAGUGGGCGGAAGCCUGAUGCAGCAACGCUGCGUGCGGGAUGACGGCCUUCGGGUUGUAAACCGCUGUCGCCUGUGACGAAGCGUGAUUGACGGUAAUGGGUAAAGAAGCACCGGCUAACUACGUG
rnacentral:rRNA from 1 species